UACGGAGGAUGCAAGCGUUAUCCGGAAUGAUUGGGCGUAAAGCGUCCGCAGGUGGCGAUGUAAGUCUGCUGUUAAAGAGUGAGGCUCAACCUCAUAAGAGCAGUGGAAACUACAUAGCUAGAGUACGUUCGGGGCAGAGGGAAUUCCUGGUGUAGCGGUGAAAUGCGUAGAGAUCAGGAAGAACACCGGUGGCGAAAGCGCUCUGCUGGACCUUAACUGACACUGAGGGACGAAAGCUAGGGGAGCGAAUGGG
rnacentral:rRNA from 1 species